rnacentral:rRNA from 1 species
GAUGAACGCUGGCGGCGUGCCUAAUACAUGCAAGUCGAGCGAACGGACGAGAAGCUUGCUUCUCUGAUGUUAGCGGCGGACGGGUGAGUAACACGUGGAUAACCUACCUAUAAGACUGGGAUAACUUCGGGAAACCGUAGCUAAUACCGGAUAAUAUUUUGAACCGCAUGGUUCAAAAGUGAAAGACGGUCUUGCUGUCACUUAUCGAUGGAUCCGCGCUGCAUUAGCUAGUUGGUAAGGUAACGGCUUACCAAGGCAACGAUGCAUAGCCGACCUGAGAGGGUGAUCGGCCACACGGGAACUGAGACACGGUCCAGACUCCUACGGGAGGCAGCAGUAGGGAAUCUUCCGCAAUGGGCGAAAGCCUGACGGAGCAACGCCGCGUGAGUGAUGAAGGUCUUCGGAUCGUAAAACUCUGUUAUUAGGGAAGAACAUAUGUGUAAGUAACUGUGCACAUCUUGACGGUACCUAAUCAGAAAGCCACGGCUAACUACGUG